ACAGGCCUAACACAUGCAAGUCGAGGGCGAGCACAAGGAGCAAUCUGAGGUGGCGACCGGCGCACGGGUGAGUAACACGUAUGCAACCUGCCUGUAAGCGGGGAAUAACCCGUUGAAAGACGGACUAAUACCGCAUAAUACUAAAUUACUGCAUGGUAAUUAUUUAAACAUUUAUGGCUUACAGAUGGGCAUGCGCAUGAUUAGCUAGUUGGAGAGGUAACGGCUCCCCAAGGCAACGAUCAUUAGGGGUUCUGAGAGGAAGGUCCCCCACACUGGUACUGAGACACGGACCAGACUCCUACGGGAGGCAGCAGUGAGGAAUAUUGGUCAAUGGACGAGAGUCUGAACCAGCCAAGUCGCGUGCAGGAAGAAUGUCCUAAUGGAUUGUAAACUGCUUUUGCAGGGGAAUAAAGUGCAUCACGUGUGAUGUUUUGUAUGUACUCUGCGAAUAAGGAUCGGCUAACUCCGUGCCAGCAGCCGC
rnacentral:rRNA from 1 species